GCUCGCUUCAGAGGACAACGCAAGAUUUUGAUCUCAAUAAACGCGUUACCUUUUGACCAUAGGAAAUAACAUUUUCGUCAAGAUAACUUGCUGUUAUUUCAUUUGAAAAAGUGUGCUUUUGACAAUUAUUGUGUCAGUGUAGGAAAAUAAAAAAAUUUUUUUUUAGUGAUAUAUAUUUUUUCAAUAUGACAGCUUUUGAAAUUUUUGAUUAUUCUAUGCCGAAAGAAUUAAUUAAAAAGUUUCAUCUCACGCUUGUAACAGAUCAUUAAUUUCGUUAGGCGCAUUUGUAAAAUAACAUUAAUUGGCCUGGUGCUGACAAAGUAUCAAAUAAAACGCCGAGCACGUUUUCAAUUGAUAAUAAAGGUUGCAAAACAAUGGAACCUCGAAUAAAUUACAUCCGAUAGACCAGCGCUAGCGAAUUACACCGGAAGAGUAAACGACUACGCACCAUGAAUUUCUGUGACGUAUAAUUAACAGAACAUUAAUUAAUAAUUAUUAUAUACAAACAUGCAUAAUCCAACGCACGUUUCGACGUAUAAUUUACGAAUUGGCUGGUUUUGCAAGCAGGAUUUCGCAAGCAAAUUGUGCUUUCGUGUUUUCCCAUUGUUUUUUUCCCAUCCAUAUGCAUUUUAUGUGCAAAAUAAAUAAUAUUUUUCCAUU